UGGAGAAGGUGGAGGCCGGCUCCGGCGAGGAGGAAGCGGAGCAGAAGCAGGAGGAGGAGGAUCUUCUGGGCAACAAGAGGAAGUGGGACAAGACUGGGUUCUACCCAUAUGAGUCUGAUGAAGAUGAGCCGUACGAGUAUGAAUCUGGAGAUGAUGUGGUCGAGGGGAACGUCGAGUCCUUUAAAGAGAAGGAGGUGUUGAAGA